GAUGAAGAACGUAGCGAAAUGCGAUACUUGGUGUGAAUUGCAGAAUCCCGCGAAUCAUCGAGUUUUUGAACGCAAGUUGCGCCCGAAGCCAUUCGGCCGAGGGCACGUCUGCCUGGGUGUCACGCAUCGUUGCCCCCCCAAACUUCGGUUCGGGCGGGGCAGAAGUUGGCCUCCCGUGCGUGCCUGCGCGUGCGGUUAGCCCAAAAGCGAGUCCUUGACGACGAGCGCCACGAAAAUCGGUGGUUUUUUUGCCCUCGUUCCUCGUCGUGCGUGCCCCGUCGCCCGAACGCGCUCUUGCGACCCUCACGCGUCGCCUCGGUGGCGCUCCCAACGCGACCCCAGGUCAGGCGGGACUACCCGCUGAGUUUAAGCAUAUCAAUAAGCGGAGGA
rnacentral:misc_RNA from 1 species